CGCCCGCUCAGAAACUUAAAGGAAUUGACGGGGGCCCGCACAAGCGGUGGAGCAUGUGGUUCAAUUCGACGCAACGCGAAGAACCUUACCAGCCCUUGACUUGUGGCUCGCCGGCUCCAGAGACGGAGCCUUCGGUUCGGCCGGAGCCAACACAGGUGCUGCAUGGCUGUCGUCAGCUCGUGUCGUGAGAUGUUGGGUUAAGUCCCGCAACGAGCGCAACCCUCGUCUCCAGUUGCCAUCAGGUAAAGCUGGGCACUUUGGAGAAACUGCCGGUGACAAGCCGGAGGAAGGUGGGGAUGACGUCAAGUCCUCAUGGCCCUUACGGGCUGGGCUACACACGUGCUACAAUGGCGGUGACAGUGGGAUGCGAAGGGGCGACCCGGAGCCGAUCCUAAAAAGCCGUCUCAGUUCGGAUUGCACUCUGCAACUCGAGUGCAUGAAGGUGGAAUCGCUAGUAAUCGAGGAUCAGCAUGCCUCGGUGAAUACGUUCCCGGGCCUU
rnacentral:rRNA from 1 species